UGGAAUUCCCGGUGUUACUGGUGGAAUGCGUAGAUAUCGGGAGGAAUACCAGUGCCGAAGCCGACUCCCUGGUCUAUUUCUGACGCUGAGGUACGAAAGCGUGGGGAGCGAACGGGAUUAGAUUACCCCGGUAGUCCACGCAUGUAAACGAUGGAUACUAGGUGUGGGAGAUCAUCUAACCCUUCCGGGCCAGAAGCAAACGCGUUAAGUAUCCCGCGUGGGGACUACGACCGCAAGGUUGGAACGCAAAGGAAUUGACGGGGCCCCGCACAAGCAACAGAGCGUGUGAUUUAAUUCGAUGAUACGCGAAGUACCUUACCUGGGUUUGACAUGUUGGUAGUAGUGAAGCGAAAGCGGAACGACCAUUCGGGGAACCAUCACAGGUGCUGCAUGGCAGUCGUCAGCUCGUGUCGUGAGAUGAUGGGUUAAGUCCCGCAACGAGCGUAACCCUAGUCGUUAGUUAUAUGUGUCGAGCGAUACUGCCGGUAUCCAACCGGAGGAAGGUGGGGAUGACGUCAAGUCAGCAUGUUCGUUAUAUCCAGGGCUACACACACACUACAAUGGACGGUACAAUAGGUUGACCACACCGCGAGGUGGAGCUAAUCCCCUAAGCCGGCAUCAGUUCGGUUUGUAGUCUGCAACUCGACUGCAUGAAGUCGGAGUUGUUAGUAACCGCGCGUCAGCAAUAGUUCGGUGUAUGCGUUCAAAGGGCUUUGUACACACCGCCGUGUCACAUCAUGGGA
rnacentral:rRNA from 1 species